UCACACAGCUAUAGAGUACACGGAGAUAUGUUCUCGGCAUGGGUGCUGGCGCUCAUGCUUGCAGCUUGCCGGUCAACUGGUGAGACCACUGCUCAGAGGGGAAAUGUAGGAAGCAACGUUGAUAUAAAACAGUUUUUCAACACCACGGAGCCGGUGUGGACGUACAGUACAACGAGAAUCACUUUAUACUACUGCGUUUUUGAUGUUACGCACAAUAUGUCUGACGAAGAGGUUAUAUAUACAAAGUAUUCUUGGCUAAACAUCAGUAGCCGACCGGA